CAGCGCCGGGUAAUACAGAGGGUGCGAGCGUUAAUCGGAUUUACUGGGCGUAAAGCGUGCGUAGGCGGCUUCUUAAGUCGGAUGUGAAAUCCCUGAGCUUAACUUAGGAAUUGCAUUCGAUACUGGGAAGCUAGAGUAUGGGAGAGGAUGGUAGAAUUCCAGGUGUAGCGGUGAAAUGCGUAGAGAUCUGGAGGAAUACCGAUGGCGAAGGCAGCCAUCUGGCCUAAUACUGACGCUGAGGUACGAAAGCAUGGGGAGCAAACAGGAUUAGAUACCCCAGUAGUCCCUGUCUCUUAUACAC
rnacentral:rRNA from 1 species